rnacentral:RNase_P_RNA from 1 species
GGUCGCGGCCGCGAGGCUGAGGAAAGUCCGGACUCCACAGGGCGGAGGAUCCGCUUGUCAAGGGCGGAAGGUGUCGGGUAAUCCGACGCGAUGGAAAGUGCCACAGAGAAAGACAGCCUCGCAAGGGGUGAUGGUGAAAGGGUGAGGUAAGAGCUCACCGGCACGGCUGAAACGACGUGCGCAGGGCAAACCCUCCUCGGAGCAAGAUCAAAUAGGAAGCCGACGGGCUGCUCGUCCGGCGACGCCACAAGGCGUCUUUAGGUUUCGGGUUGAUUGCUUAGAUGAAUGAUCGGACCUUUCGCUUCGGCGAGGGGGAACAGAAUCUGGCUUAUUCGCCG